rnacentral:pre_miRNA from 1 species
UGAUGAUAAUAAUGAUAAUAAUAAUAAUGAUGAUGAUGAUGAUGAUCAUCAUCAUCAUCAUCAUCCUCAUCAUCAUCAUCAUCAUCAUCAUAAUAA